UCUGUCGUGAUGAGCCAUUAACAUGUAAGAAGAAAUCGUAUGAUAUGGUUUUGAUCUCGAUGAAAUGUGUUUGUUACGCUUGGCUUUGAGCUUC